rnacentral:rRNA from 1 species
CCUACGGGUGGCAGCAGUGAGGAAUAUUGGUCAAUGGGCGCGAGCCUGAACCAGCCAAGUAGCGUGAAGGAUGACUGCCCUACGGGUUGUAAACUUCUGGUAUAAAGGAAUAAAGUGAGGCACGUGUGCCUUUUUGUAUGUACUUUAUGAAUAAGGAUCGGCUAACUCCGUGCCAGCAGCCGGGGUAAUACGGAGGGUCCGAGCGUUAUGCGGAUUUAUUGGGUUUAAAGGGAGCGUAGCUGGGUUGUUAAGUCAGUUGUGAACGUUUGCGGCUCACCCGUAAAAGUGCAUUUGCUGCUGGCAGCCUUGAGUACAGUUGAGUUAGGCGGCAUUC